CUCGAUUUACUUCUUUUUUUUUUUUUUUUUUUCUCAGUUCACUUUCGACAUCGGUUUCUAUUUUUAUCAAUACGAUAAUUAUCUUUGCUAUACAGUAAUCUUAGUACAUAAUCGGUGACGGAAGUCUCCUUGUCGUGCUGCGUUACAUUUCGUUGAUACUGAAUAGUAACGAGAUGUUACUCGUGUGUGAAAAUGAACUCUCAUAUUCUGUAAACAAAAUUCGGUAGAAAAAUAAAUAAUAGAGAACACUUCAUCCCUUACAUAUAUUUUUUAACGUAUCAUUAUGGGUUUUUGUCCGAAAAAAUUCGUAUUGUUAUACUUUAUACCGAGUAUUACUUUGAUGGAUUCGGUACUGGGUACUUGUGGGUGGACUCGACCCGUUGGGAUUGGUGGUUACUGGAGCAAAGUUUUGCUUUUUACAGUUCGAUGGAUAAGAGUUGUCACCGAUCUACGAGCCCAUUAUUCAUUAAAGCCUGCUAAAUGCAAUGCUCAAUUAUUGAUGGCCAUAUUUGUCCGUGGCGACAUAUAUUGAUCCCGCUAUUUUUUAUGGUUUAAUCGGAAAUAGCCCGAAGAAAGUGCUAGAGAGUUUGUUUUCAUCCACGGUAUUUCUUGUAUAAACUCGAACGAGAGAAAACAAAACAGAAGAAAAGCAAAAAAACAAAAAAAGCAAACGGAAUUUUUGAAUAAUUUAAAAACCGUCUCCAAAACCAGAAAUAAACC
rnacentral:lncRNA from 1 species